rnacentral:rRNA from 2 species
AAAUUGAAGAGUUUGAUCAUGGCUCAGAUUGAACGCUGGCGGCAGGCCUAACACAUGCAAGUCGAACGGUAACAGGAAGCAGCUUGCUGCUUCGCUGACGAGUGGCGGACGGGUGAGUAAUGUCUGGGAAACUGCCUGAUGGAGGGGGAUAACUACUGGAAACGGUAGCUAAUACCGCAUAACGUCGCA